rnacentral:lncRNA from 1 species
UACUUUUUCCUUCAUACUUCAUUGAGUGAACUGGGCUUCCUCUUCUUCUCCUUUAGAUCUGAUCUUCGAGAUGGUGCAGGCAUAGAGAUGGCACAUAACCAAAGCUCAGCUUCUAGACACCUCCUUCUUAGAAAUCUUCUCCACAACCUAAAACUAUGCUUGCUAUCCUCUUUCUAUGUCUCUCCUAUUUUUGGAUGCUUUUUCUAUUCUCCUUAAGGUCCCUUAAAUAGAUUUCAUGACCUCCCCAGGUAUGAGACGUAUCAAGUCUUUGAUUCUCUAAUGGAAUCCUUUUUUUUUUUUUAGGAUUUAAAAUUAUAUAGCUACCUUCCGUUCAUCGCAUUGCGUGUCUGUGCGUCCAUGUCUCAGCGCCUCGCCCAGCGUAUGUAAACUCUCUGGUCUCAACUUGGACCGAACCAGCCUCGCUCGAACCCUCUGUAAGCUGCACCGCGUUAUUUCUUCAUUUGCCCAGGUUGUGAACCGCGCUGCCCAUGCACCACCAGGAUCGCGCCCACAUGACCCCAUGCACCUAGGUGCGUUUAAACC